GUGAGGAAUCUUCCGCAAUGGACGAAAGUCUGACGGAGCAACGCCGCGUGCAGGAUGACGGCCUUCGGGUUGUAAACUGCUUUUCUGAAGGAAGAUUAUGACGGUACUUCAGGAAUAAGGACCGGCUAACUACGUGCCAGCAGCCGCGGUAAUACGUAGGGUCCAAGCGUUAUCCGGAAUUACUGGGCGUAAAGCGUGCGUAGGUGGGUGUUUAAGUGCAAUGCGAAAUCCUGUGGCUCAACCAUAUGGACUGUAUUGCAUACUGGAUACCUAGAGGAGUGUAGAGGCAAGUGGAAUUACCGGUGUAGCAGUGAAAUGCGUAGAGAUCGGUAGGAACACCAAUGGCGAAGGCAGCUUGCUGGGCACCACCUGACACUAAGGCACGAAAGCGUGGGGAGCGAACAGGAUUAGAUACCCUUGUAGUCC
rnacentral:rRNA from 1 species